rnacentral:rRNA from 1 species
AUACGUAGGGUGCAAGCGUUAAUCGGAAUUACUGGGCGUAAAGCGUGCGCAGGCGGUUUUGUAAGACAGUGGUGAAAUCCCCGGGCUCAACCUGGGAACUGCCAUUGUGACUGCAAGGCUGGAGUGCGGCAGAGGGGGAUGGAAUUCCGCGUGUAGCAGUGAAAUGCGUAGAUAUGCGGAGGAACACCGAUGGCGAAGGCAAUCCCCUGGGCCUGCACUGACGCUCAUGCACGAAAGCGUGGGGAGCAAACAGGAUUAGAUACCCUGGUAGUCCACGCCCUAAACGAUGUCAACUGGUUGCUGGGGAUUAUUUUCUCAGUAACGAAGCUAACGCGUGAAGUUGACCGCCUGGGGAGUACGGCCGCAAGGUUAAAACUCAAAUGAAUUGACGGGG